UCACUGUUGCUGGUCUUUUGGACAGAGCUGGAAACACUGUUGAUGCCCUGGUCUGAUGAAUUAAUAAGAGACACGCUGAUGAAACCAGAUUUGCUGAAUACGGCGAUGAUGCCAUUACAUUUCACGUGCUGCUGCCUCUCACCUCUCCUGACCAAUCAAAUGCCGCAUGAGAAUCAUCAAUCGGACUGAUUGAGCCUCUAACUGAUCACUGUGCUGUUCAUUGAUUGUGGUGUCUUUCGAUGUAACAGAGGGCAAAGAGUUCUGUCUCUCUGCUGCCCUGGGGAAUGCCAAGAGCUUUGCAAAAAUAAAAAUAAAUGCAACUGCACAAAAAGCUUU